UACAGAGGUCUCAAGCGUUGUUCGGAUUCAUUGGGCGUAAAGGGUGCGUAGGCGGCGCGGUAAGUCGGGUGUGAAAUCUCGGGGCUUAACUCCGAAACUGCAUUCGAUACUGCCGUGCUUGAGGACUGGAGAGGAGACUGGAAUUUACGGUGUAGCGGUGAAAUGCGUAGAUAUCGUAAGGAAGACCAGUGGCGAAGGCGGGUCUCUGGAUAGUUCCUGACGCUGAGGCACGAAGGCCAGGGGAGCAAACGGG
rnacentral:rRNA from 1 species